GUAAAGAUAUUUCACAUGGACAUGCAGGAGAAAGGGAUGCUCCCAGGCCUGCCAUAUCAGAAGCCAAUCGGAACUACUCAAUGGAGUGGCAGCUCCUAUGACCAGAUGGCCCAGGCAGCUAAGUCUGGAGUUCAAGAACCCCAUACUCCCCAUCACUUGAUAGAGGCUAGGCAAGCCCUGGACCCAGUGGAACCCCCAGCCUCCAGGCUGCAGAGCAAGAGCUAAGGGUGGUUUGGAGAAAGCCACAGGUGCUUAAAAGACGUCAAAGAGGUUCAUAUUUGCUGUUCUGUUGUUCUUGGUCGUGGCAGUAAUUCAAAGUCUCAAGUAUGCAAAAACCAGUUGGAAAUGUUUUAAAAGGGCAGCCAAGUAGGCAUUUCUCUUCCAAAUAACAGGCUUGAUUCCACUGUUGGAUAUUUUAAAAAACUUUUAUUUAUCUUCACUAAUUAUUUAACUUUGAUUUUCAUGCUUUCUCACUGAAUAAAUAUUCCUAAAUAGGUUAAAAUAACAGAGAAAUGAAAUCAUCUAAAGACGUUAGUCACACAGUGUGCUCUGGUGAUAAGACUCCUGGACUGCAUGAGGAAACUGUGCGGCUUCUGGCUCUGCCACGAAGUUGUUGUGUGAUUGUGGAAGCCGUUCACCAUCUCUGGACCUGUUUCUUCCCCAGUCAAAUUAAAUGGGGAGGGCUCUCAGAAAUCUGGAGAUUUAGGAUUGGACUCAGAAAAGGAGUCCCGAGUGGAGCAGUGUCAUCUGAUUCAGACGUGAUGUCAAACUUCAGGAAUGUGUGAGGACGCCCAGUGCAAGAGUACAGAGUGAGAAGAAAACAGAGCCAAGGACAAACCCACAAGGACACCGGCAUCUAAGUGUGUUGUAGCUCAGGUUCCUUGAGAAGUAGCCUAUGAGAUGGAAACUUAUGAGCAGGAAGUGUACUGGGGAGUGUUCCAGAAUCAAUACCUGUAAGGAAGGAGGAAUGCUGGAUUGGGUGGAGAAAGAAGUGGAAGUCUGAUGUGGUUUCAACAGAGGCCUCAGCUGAUCCCGUGAGCAGCUCUGAAACCAGGAUGGCCCUUCGAGGGAUGGCUGGGGAGUGCUGAACUGGGUUCCCUGGUUCCCACCAGCUGGAUUCCUGAGUCAGCUGUGUGGAUCUCCUCCCAACUCCUCAUUCAGUGAUGUCAGGUUGAUCUUGACAUUGGCACAGUGGGAAUAUUUACACCAUGGAAACUGCCCAAUAUUACAAACCAGGGCUUUCCCGCUCCACCAGGAACAACUUGUUAAAU
rnacentral:lncRNA from 1 species